GGCCUUCUCUGUGUUGUAGUCGAGGCUUUAAGAUGAGGACCAGCUCUACAGCACCUUGGAGAUAGCUCUAAAACCCACAUUGCCUGUACAUAAAACCCAUAUUUUCAUAUUUUUAUCCAUAGGAAGCAGAGCGAGGGACGGACGCAGCACAAACUAUGGUGGCCGUGAAUCCCACAACUGUUACCCAAAAGUACAAUGUUUUUUCGGGAUGGGCGGCGAAUUUCCGCCGCACCCAGAGUAAUACCCCAAGCAGAAUUCUUGCGUGCAAUUCAAUUCAUAUUAACGGGAGCUCUGCAGUCUGCCGUAAUAGGAUUUCUCUGGCUUCUGCAAACGGGUUUAGAAUAUAUGGGUCGAAGCCUUUGGGCCUUCGCUCUUUUCAGGUUUUGAGUGGCGGUGGAGCUGGCGGUGGCGGUGGAGAUGGCAGAAACAGUGGUAGUGGUGGAGAUGCAGGUGGAGGUGGAGGUGGAGGUCAUGAUAGUAACUGGUCACUCAUUUCAUGGUAUCUGUCUCUUCUUGCCAAGCAUCCUGUGAUCACAAAGGCUGUCACUUCCGCAAUUUUAACUUUGGUUGGUGAUGUUAUUUGUCAGCUCUUUAUUGAUCAAGUGCCAUCUCCUGAUUUGAAGCGGACAUUUAUCUUCACUCUGUUGGGUCUCGCUUUGGUUGGUCCGACAUUACAUUUCUGGUAUUCGUAUUUGAGUAAAGUGGUUACUGUCCCUGGAGCUUCUGGUACUUUCUUGAGGCUUUUCCUUGAUCAGUUUAUUUUCUCUCCCAUUUUUAUUGGGACUUUCCUAUCUACACUGGUGACACUUGAGGGACGACCAUCAAAUGUAAUCCCGAAGCUAAAACAGGAAUGGUUGUCAUCAGUUGUUGCAAAUUGGUUUGUCUGGAUACCAUUUCAGUUCCUCAACUUCCAAUUUGUUCCACAGCAAUUUCAGGUCCUUGCUGCCAAUUUUAUCGCCUUGAUAUGGAACGUGAUUCUUUCCUAUAAAGCUCAUAAAGAAGUUCCUGUGGAAUACUAGUUUACCUUCUUCCUAGAAUUCACCUUCUUUCAAGAAUGAUCCAUGUUUUUCUUCUGAGCACAGUCAGCAAGAAAAAAGAUUGAAUCUUUGAUGGAGAAAACCAAGGAUCAUGAGUUUGAAGAUGGUUUUCCGACAAGAUCGACUUCCUUGUCCGAACCUUCUAGCCCAUCUCGGAGUCCCUCCUCCUCAGAUCACUCCCUUCCCUUCACCG